CCUACGGGGUGCCGCAGUGAGGAAUAUUGGUCAAUGGGCGGGAGCCUGAACCAGCCAAGUCGCGUGAGGGAAGACGGUCCUAUGGUUUGUACACCUCUUUAGGCGGGGAGCAAUGCCGGGCACGCGUGCCCGGAGGGAGAGUACCCGCAGAAUAAGCAUCGGCUAACUCCGUGCCAGCAGCCGCGGUAAUACGGAGGAUGCGAGCGUUAUUCGGAUGUAUUGGGUUUAAAGGGUGCGUAGGCGGAUUUUUAAGUCAGCGGUAAAAUGUCCGGGCUCAACCCGGACCGGCCGUUGAAACUGGGGAUCUAGAGUGGGCGAGAAGUAUGAGGAAUGCGUGGUGUAGCAGUGAAAUGCAAAGAUGUCACGCAGGACUCCGAUUGCGAAGGAAGCAUACCGGCGCCCGACUGACGCUGAGGCACGAAAGCGUGGGGAUCGAACAGGAUUAGAUACCGCAGUAGUC
rnacentral:rRNA from 1 species